rnacentral:rRNA from 1 species
CCUACGGGGGGCAGCAGUGGGGAAUAUUGGGCAAUGGGCGCAAGCCUGACCCAGCAACGCCGCGUGAAGGAAGAAGGCUUUCGGGUUGUAAACUUCUUUUAUGAGGGACGAAAGACAUGACGGUACCUCAUGACUAAGCAUCGGCUAACUCCGUGCCAGCAGCCGCGGUAAUACGGAGGAUGCGAGCGUUAUCCGGAUUUAUUGGGUUUAAAGGGUGCGUAGGCGGAUUUUUAAGUCAGCGGUAAAAUGUCCGGGCUCAACCCGGGCCGGCCGUUGAAACUGGGGAUCUUGAGUGGGCGAGAAGUAUGCGGAAUGCGUGGUGUAGCGGUGAAAUGCAUAGAUAUCACGCAGAACUCCGAUUGCGAAGGCAGCAUACCGGCGCCCGACUGACGCUGAGGCACGAAAGCGUGGGGAUCGAACAGGAUUAGAUACCCCUGUAGUC